UACACACCCUGGAAUGUACCAGUGUCGGUGUGAGAACGGAAGGAGGAAACCUAGAGACUUUGUCACAAUUGUGAACAGUUGCACAAAGUCACUACCAAGGACGGAUAUUCCCACAUAGGCGUACUGAUCAGUGGAGACAGCUAGUUGGAGCUGAUUAUCCUCCACGAUAAAGCUAAGAGAUGGGAACUAGAUGGUAGCAUUAGAGAGAGAGUGAAAGAAAAAGCCAGGAUAGUACAGAAGAAGAAAGGCGGGCAAGGAUCAG
rnacentral:lncRNA from 1 species